rnacentral:tRNA from 1 species
UGUUCUGUGGCUUAAAUGGUAAAAGCGCCGGUCUAACAAAAACGCAGUCGUGGGUUUGCAUCCCACCAGAACGC